rnacentral:rRNA from 1 species
GAUGAACGCUGGCGGCGUGCCUAAUACAUGCAAGUCGAGCGAACAGAUAAGGAGCUUGCUCCUUUGACGUUAGCGGCGGACGGGUGAGUAACACGUGGGUAACCUACCUAUAAGACUGGGAUAACUUCGGGAAACCGGAGCUAAUACCGGAUAACAUUUGGAACCGCAUGGUUCUAAAGGGAAAGAUGGUUUUGCUAUCACUUAUAGAUGGACCCGCGCCGUAUUAGCUAGUUGGUAAGGUAACGGCUAACCAAGGCGACGAUACGUAGCCGACCUGAGAGGGUGAUCGGCCACACUGGAACUGAGACACGGUCCAGACUCCUACGGGAGGCAGGAGUAGGGAAUCUUCCGCAAUGGGCGAAAGCCUGACGGAGCAACGCCGCGUGAGUGAUGAAGGGUUUCGGCUCGUAAAACUCUGUUAUUAGGGAAGAACAAAUGUGUAAGUAACUGUGCACGUCUUGACGGUACCUAAUCAGAAAGCCACGGCUAACUACGUGCCAGCCGCCGCAGUAA